rnacentral:rRNA from 1 species
GACGAACGCUGGCGGCGUGCUUAACACAUGCAAGUCGAACGGAAAGGCCCUGCUUUUGUGGGGUGCUCGAGUGGCGAACGGGUGAGUAACACGUGAGUAACCUGCCCUUGACUUUGGGAUAACUUCAGGAAACUGGGGCUAAUACCGGAUAGGAGCUCCUACUGCAUGGUGGGGGUUGGAAAGUUUCGGCGGUUGGGGAUGGACUCGCGGCUUAUCAGCUUGUUGGUGGGGUAGUGGCUUACCAAGGCUUUGACGGGUAGCCGGCCUGAGAGGGUGACCGGCCACAUUGGGACUGAGAUACGGCCCAGACUCCUACGGGAGGCAGCAGUGGGGAAUAUUGCACAAUGGGCGGAAGCCUGAUGCAGCAACGCCGCGUGCGGGAUGACGGCCUUCGGGUUGUAAACCGCUUUCGCCUGUGACGAAGCGUGAGUGACGGUAAUGGGUAAAGAAGCACCGGCUAACUACGUGCCAGCAGCCGCGGUGAUACGUAGGGUGCGAGCGUUGUCCGGAUUUAUUGGGCGUAAAGGGCUCGUAGGUGGUUGAUCGCGUCGGAAGUGUAAUCUUGGGGCUUAACCCUGAGCGUGCUUUCGAUACGGGUUGACUUGAGGAAGGUAGGGGAGAAUGGAAUUCCUGGUGGAGCGGUGGAAUGCGCAGAUAUCAGGAGGAACACCAGUGGCGAAGGCGGUUCUCUGGGCCUUUCCUGACGCUGAGGAGCGAAAGCGUGGGGAGCGAACAGGCUUAGAUACCCUGGUAGUCCACGCUGUAAACGGUGGGUACUAGGUGUGGGGUCCAUUCCACGGGUUCCGUGCCGUAGCUAACGCUUUAAGUACCCCGCCUGGGGAGUACGGCCGCAAGGCUAAAACUCAAAGGAAUUGACGGGGCCCCGCACAAGCGGCGGAGCAUGCGGAUUAAUUCGAUGCAACGCGUAGAACCUUACCUGGGUUUGACAUGGAUCGGGAGCGCUCAGAGAUGGGUGUGCCUCUUUUGGGGUCGGUUCACAGGUGGUGCAUGGCUGUCGUCAGCUCGUGUCGUGAGAUGUUGGGUUAAGUCCCGCAACGAGCGCAACCCUUGUUCACUGUUGCCAGCACGUUAUGGUGGGGACUCAGUGGAGACCGCCGGGGUCAACUCGGAGGAAGGUGGGGAUGACGUCAAGUCAUCAUGCCCCUUAUGUCCAGGGCUUCACGCAUGCUACAAUGGCUGGUACAGAGAGUGGCGAGCCUGUGAGGGUGAGCGAAUCUCGGAAAGCCGGUCUCAGUUCGGAUUGGGGUCUGCAACUCGACCUCAUGAAGUCGGAGUCGCUAGUAAUCGCAGAUCAGCAACGCUGCGGUGAAUACGUUCCCGGG